UGCCAGCCGCCGCGGUAACACGAACCGGACAAACGUUAUUCGGAUUUACUGGGCGUAAAGGGCGCGUAGGCGGUAUGUCAUGUCAGGGGUGAAAGGCCUGGGCUCAACCCAGGAACUGCCUUUGAAACUGGCAAACUAGAGUCCGAUAGAGGAUGGCGGAAUUCCCAGUGUAGAGGUGAAAUUCGUAGAUAUUGGGAAGAACACCAGUGGCGAAGGCGGCCAUCUGGAUCGGCACUGACGCUGAGGCGCGAAAGCGUGGGGAGCAAACAGGAUUAGAUA
rnacentral:rRNA from 1 species